UACAGGGGGUGCAACCGUUGCUCGGAAUUAUUGGGCGUAAAGCGCGCGUAGGCGGCUACUUAAGUCGGAUGUGAAAGCCCUUGGCUCAACUGAGGAAGUGCACCCGAAACUGAGUGGCUUGAGUACGAAAGAGGGUCGCGGAAUUCCCGGUGUAGAGGUGAAAUUCGUAGAUAUCGGGAGGAACACCGGUGGCGAAGGCGGCGACCUGGGUCGAUACUGACGCUGAUGCGCGAAAGCGUGGGGAGCAAACAGG
rnacentral:rRNA from 1 species